rnacentral:rRNA from 1 species
AGAAUCAACGCUGGCGGCGUGCCUAACACAUGCAAGUCGCACGAGAAAGGGUAGCAAUACCUGAGUAAAGUGGCGCACGGGUGAGUAACACGUGAAUGAUCUACCUCCGAGUGGGGAAUAACUGAGAGAAAUCUUAGCUAAUACCGCAUAACACUUACGAGUCAAAGCAGCAAUGCGCUUGGAGAGGGGGUCGCGGCAGAUUAGUUAGUUGGCGGGGUAAUGGCCCACCAAGACGAUGAUCUGUA